UAGUGAAUCUUCGGCAAUGGGGGGAACCCUGACCGAGCAACGCCGCGUGAGUGAAGAAGGUUUUCGGAUCGUAAAGCUCUGUUGUUAAGGAAGAACGAGUGUGAGAAUGGAAAGUUCAUACUGUGACGGUACUUAACCAGAAAGGGACGGCUAACUACGUGCCAGCAGCCGCGGUAAUACGUAGGUCCCGAGCGUUGUCCGGAUUUAUUGGGCGUAAAGCGAGCGCAGGCGGUUAGAUAAGUCUGAAGUUAAAGGCAGUGGCUCAACCAUUGUAGGCUUUGGAAACUGUUUAACUUGAGUGCAGAAGGGGAGAGUGGAAUUCCAUGUGUAGCGGUGAAAUGCGUAGAUAUAUGGAGGAACACCGGUGGCGAAAGCGGCUCUCUGGUCUGUAACUGACGCUGAGGCUCGAAAGCGUGGGGAGCGAACAGG
rnacentral:rRNA from 1 species